UUUUCAAAUAACGUGCCACGUCAGUUUUUUUUACCCAAAUCUUAAAAUUUUCUUUUCUUUUUCUCUCUCAAGUUGUUGAUGCUUCCUUUCUCUUCACUCCCCUUCAAGUCUUCAACCGUCAUUGGGUCGUGGUGAUAUUUUUGUGCUUCAAAAUGAAGCUGAAGAAAAAGAAACGAAUGGUGGGUUUUGGAUGGAUCAGGGGAUCCAGAACUUGAAUCUCAUGGAGUUCGUGGAAUAUGCUAUGACUAUGGCGCUGAAGGACCUGAGAAAAAAUGCAGUGGUUAGAUUGGGGAAGUUGAGCAUCCAAAAUUCUACCUGUUUAUGGCCAUGGGCAUCCAAAACGUAGCAGUGCGUUCUGGUUCAUUGGGUCUUGGAUGAUUCCUUUUGCUACUCACAUGGCAAGGUUCAGCAAGGAAUCUCUUACUUUCAGAGGACAAGCUUUGUUUGGCUUUGUAACUGAUGUAACUGAAGGACUUGUUGGGAUUGCAAUACUCCACCGCUGUCUGUCUCAGUUUCAUCCUCUUCUAUCAGAUUGGUUUAAAUUAGCUUAAGAGGAAAGUGGCUUUUUAAUGUUGUUCUAGGAUGCCUCAUGUUUCCUGUUGUCAACCGAUUAUCACAGUUCAACCUCAACUUGUUGCCCCUUAUGCCUUCUACACUUGUAACCCUUGCAGAGCACGCAGUACAUCAAUGCUUUACGACUCUUAUAGUAGUGCAUAUGGGAGUGGUUUGAUGACAAAAACAAACAUGUUAGCUUUUGCAGCAUCCUUAGUCUCCCGAUAUUGAUCCAUCUCUUAUGUACAUGAUCGUCGAGUACCGUAUAAAAAUCAAAUGGUGCAGCUGAUAUUUU